UACGGGGGGAGCAAGCGUUGUUCGGAUUUACUGGGCGUAAAGGGCGCGUAGGCGGUCAGCACAAGUCAGUUGUGAAAUCUCCGGGCUUAACUCGGAAAGGUCAACUGAUACUGUGCGACUAGAGUGCGGAAGGGGCAACUGGAAUUCUCGGUGUAGCGGUGAAAUGCGCAGAUAUCAGGAAGAACACCAAAUGGCGAAAGCAGCUUUCUGGGACGGUACUGACGCUGAGACGCGAAAGCGUGGGGAGCAAACAGG
rnacentral:rRNA from 1 species